rnacentral:rRNA from 1 species
UACGGAGGGGGCUAGCGUUGUUCGGAAUUACUGGGCGUAAAGCGCGCGUAGGCGGCUUUGUAAGUCAGAGGUGAAAGCCUGGAGCUCAACUCCAGAACUGCCUUUGAAACUACAUCGCUAGAAUCAUGGAGAGGUUAGUGGAAUUCCGAGUGUAGAGGUGAAAUUCGUAGAUAUUCGGAAGAACACCAGUGGCGAAGGCGGCCGACUGGUCCGGUUCUGACGCUGAGGCGCGAAAGCGUGGGGAGCAAACGGG